GACGAACGCUGGCGGCGUGCUUAACACAUGCAAGUCGAACGGAAAGGCCCUGCUUUUGUGGGGUGCUCGAGUGGCGAACGGGUGAGUAACACGUGAGUAACCUGCCCUUGACUUUGGGAUAACUUCAGGAAACUGGGGCUAAUACCGGAUAGGAGCUCCUGCUGCAUGGUGGGGGUUGGAAAGUUUCGGCGGUUGGGGAUGGACUCGCGGCUUAUCAGCUUGUUGGUGGGGUAGUGGCUUACCAAGGCUUUGACGGGUAGCCGGCCUGAGAGGGUGACCGGCACCAUGGGACUUGGGUUCCGGCCCGGACUCUUACGGGGGGCAGCGUUGGGAAUAAUGCCCCAAGGGCCGAAGCCUUGUUCCAGAACCCCGCGUGGCGGAUUGCGGCCUUCGGGUUGGAAACCGCUUUUGCCUUGGACGGAGCGUGAGUGACGGUAAUUGGUAAAGAAGCACCGGCUAACUACGUG
rnacentral:rRNA from 1 species